ACUGCCCGGUGGACAAACCGGAGGAAGGUGGGGAUGACGUCAAAUCAUCAUGCCCCUUAUGACCUGGGCUACACACGUACUACAAUGGCGUAUACAACGGGAAGCGAAAUGGUGACAUGGAGCAAAUCUCACAAAGUACGUCUCAGUUCGGAUUGAAGUCUGCAACUCGACUUCAUGAAGUCGGAAUCGCUAGUAAUCGCGGAUCAGCAUGCCGCGGUGAAUACGUUCUCGGGCCUU
rnacentral:rRNA from 1 species